ensembl:lncRNA
ACAUUCGUAUAUAUGCAGCUAAUCAACGUCGUUGACAGCCUAUGACAGCGUUCUUAUGUGCUGACACCGGUGUUUUAGCUAGCAAAGCAGCGUGGCUGAUGUGGAGUGAAGCCACAUUAAUGACAACGUGUACAACCAUUGGAGAUGUGAGCAGGACAGACGGAACAAUUGAUGGAAAAAGUGUGGACUUUAUACCAGUUUUUAAAUUGUGUUGUUGUUUAUAUUUACUGCGGGAAGAAACGGUAAAAACAGCGUUUUAGCUCGAAAGCACUCUCCGCCUGUGAGCAAAAACAAAACCAAAAAAAACCCCACCCUAGGGCUUUGGAGUUGACGUAACACCGCAAUGCAUUGUGGGAGCGCGGCACCAUUUGAGAAGGCCACAAAUCAAAACAAACACACUGUGUUGGAAGGAUGACUGCCAGAACCAUGCUUAAAAUCAGCUAAAAAGUCAAAGGCCUGUAUCGAGACCGGUUGCGCCCGGACGCCAAGAGACCGUACUUGGAAAAAAUAGCAUGCAUUGGUAAUGUGGACCCGUAUGAUGAAAUACGGGAACUGUAAGUGAUAACUUUGGCACCUGAUAUAAAUUUAGUUUUAGUAGUUUGACUAAAAUGUGUAAUAAUUUUAGUCAAAUUACUUUGACCAAAAAAAAAAAAAAAACUGGCACCACCCGAUGUUCUCUUGCUAUGUCCCUGCUAAACAUUGUAAUUUACAUAGCUGUGAGUUUAAAGAUAUGUUAAGUCACUCCAGGCUUCAGUGUAGUCUGAGCUGACCAACCUUGAGAUAAACCAAAGACGUAUGAAAUGAAGGGCAUUCAAAAUAUUUGGGUUUACUGUGAACAUUACAUUCUCCAUAUCUAUCGUAAAGAAAAAAAAAAGGUAAAUGGCCUGUAUUUGUAUAGCACUUUAUUUAGUCCCUAAUGACCCCAAAGCCCUUUACACUACAUUCACACACUGGUGAUGGCAAGCUACAUUGUAGCCACAGCUGCCAGACACUGGCACCACCUGGCCCUCUGACCACCACCACCAGUAGGCAAUGGGUGAAGUGUCUUGCCCAAGGACACGACGUAGACUGUCUGAGCCGGGGCUCGAACCAGCAACCUUCCGAUUACAAGAUGAACUGCCUUGAGUCACGAUCGCCCCAUCGUAGGAUGCUUCUACAUUCCAAAAAGAACAGGUCCACUAUCUAUAUUAUCUGCAUUACAUUAGAUUAUCUAUCAGUGCUGUCAGCAUUCAUAUGAGCUAAUGUAUGAUACUGUAUAUCACAGGGUCAGUUGUCCAGGAACUACAGUAUCUGUGUGCAUGUCUGAAUAUUAAAGCUCAGCAGUGACCCUUAAAGCCUCAUUUCCUCGACAGAAGACAGAAUCUGUCCGUGUUCUUCUUUCUUUAAUUUAAAAAAUAUAAAAAAAACCAAUGAAAUCCCUUUUUUCCAUGCACCUAUUUCAGACUGCAAGAUGACUCUACUAGCUUGUUAAUCAUUACCCAUGCAUGGUCAAAACUGACAUGAUCAUUUGAUGCAUUACUAUGCAAUGCUCCAGUAAUUAUUCUUUCCUUUAACGAGGCAGGCAAGCAAAGCCAGGCUGCCCUCUUUCCCUCCCAUGUCUCAGUCAUUUAUUUCUUCAUUUUCUCUCAACUUAGGAACAAUCUUAUUUGUACUGAAGCAUGGAGG